UACGUAGGGGGCAAGCGUUGUCCGGAUUUACUGGGCGUAAAGAGCGUGUAGGCGGCCACGCAGGUCCGUUGUGAAAACUGGAGGCUCAACCUCCAGACGUCGACGGAAACCGUAUGGCUAGAGUCCGGAAGAGGAGAGUGGAAUUCCCGGUGUAGCAGUGAAAUGCGUAGAUAUCGGGAGGAACACCAGUGGCGAAGGCGGCCUUCUGGACCAGUACUGACGCUCAUGCACGAAAGCGUGGGGAGCAAACAGG
rnacentral:rRNA from 1 species